UCUUCUGGCUUCCACCCCCCAGUCCAAUGGGCAGACAGAGAGAAUGAACCAGGACCUGGAAACCACUCUUCACUGCUUGAUCAACCACAACCCUGCUUCCUGGUCUGAACAACUGCUCUUCUACUGGACUUUCUCCCUUCAAGUGCGCCUAUGGCUAUCAGCCUCCACUGUUUGCCAACCAAGAGAGGGAGACUGCCUGCCCAUCGGCACAAGCCUUUGUUCACCGUUGCCGGCGCACCUGGGACCAGGCACGUACUGCUCUCCUCAGGUCUGCUGACCGCUACGCUGCUGCCGCCAACAAGCACCGCACGCCUGCUCCCGCCUACCAGGUUGGCCAGAGGGUCUGGCUCUCCUCCCGUGACUUGCCCCUAAAGGUGGAGAACCGCAAGCUGGCUCCCAGGUUUGUUGGGCCCUUUCCCAUUGCUCGCAUCAUCAACCCUGAGGCGGUACGUCUUCGGCUUCCCCGGUCCAUGAAGAUUCACCCGACGUUCCAUGUCUCCAGGAUCAAGCCAGUCCGAGAGAGUCCUCUGGUUCCUCCCAUGCCGCCUCCUCCGCCUCCUCAGCUCGUUGAUGGCGGUCCGGUGUAUGCUGUCAGGCGCCUCCUUCGCUCUCGCCGCCGUGGACGUGGGAUGCAGUAUCUUUUGGAUUGGGAGGGUACGGUCCGGAGGAGCGUUCCUGGGUGCCGGCUCGGUUCAUUGUGGAUCCUUCGCUUAUUUUUGACUUUCACCGUCGGCAUCCUGACCAGCCUGCCCCGUCCUCACUUCCGCCUUCUGCGGGCCCAUCUGCUGAUGGACCUUCUGAUCCUCUGGUCGGGGGGGGGCACCGAUGUGGCUGCCUCUUCCUGCUCAUCUUCCUCUUCUGCUGCAGAGGACGUGGACUCUGCUGCCUCUGAGGAAUUUUAGCCCUCCUCCGGGCCCCCUCCACCCUCCCAGCUCGGGCUGGUACGCCUGGGGUCGUCCCUUGCCGGGGGGGGUACUGUCAUGAUCCGUUCCUGGCUUUCCGUCCUACUGCCAGUUCUGCCAGUACUUUUCCUGUUCACCUGCCUGCCACUCUCACCUCAUCAGUGCAACCACCUUCACCUGUGUUCCCUCACCUGGUUUAAACCCACUCUGUUCACUCAGUCUCUGCCAGAUUGUCUUUAGCAGCAUGCAAAGCUCUCUCGCAGUAUUUUCCGGAUUGCUUCCUUGGUUUCGACCCUACUUGUCCUUGACCCGUCCUCGUCGUCCCUGCCCAGGUAACCUGAACUGCCCUUCUGUCCCUGACCCCUCUGCCUGCUCACCCCUCGUCUGUCUCCAGUUUGCUUGGAUUCCCUCCCUGGAGAUCUCAACUAGAAAGUCAGACUGUUUUGCUUUUGUGGAUUGUUCCUGUGUACUUGCUGUGGAUUUUACGACCCUGCUUGGUCAAUAAACUGUCGAACUUUGCCAACGCUGGUCUCAGUCUGUGCUGUUCUUGGGUCCAAUCUCACGCCCAUUACAGAAAGAAAAGCUGUGAAACCGGUGACAGGGUCAUGGUCGGCCAAGGCUCUUUGGUGCAUGUGGGGAGCAAAGGCUAACCCAUGGCGUCCAAUCCAACAGCGAGACUACUGUUACUCAGAAUGCUGAAAAAGUUAAUACUGUUUCUGAUAGAAAGGUGUCAGAACACACAGUGCAUCGCAAUUUGUUGCAUAUGGGGCUGCAUAACAUUAUGACCACCAAGGUGGUAAUGGUAACGGUAAAUGGACCUGUACUUAUAUAGCGCCUUUCUAGUCUUCCGACCACUCAAAGCACUUUUACACUACGUGCCACAUUCAUCCUUUCAUACACAUUCACACACCGAUGCACGGCAUCGGGAGCAAUUCGGGGUUCAGUAUCUUGCUCAAGGAUACUUCCACGUGUGGCACCAGGAGCCCACAACCUUCCGAUUAAGGAACUAGCCACAGCCGCUCCCGGUGCCCAUGUGCUCAUAAUGUUAUGGCUAAUUGGUGUAUAUAUGUGUCCAAAAACAUAUCCAAAAUGUGCCUAAAUCUCUUCAAAUAACAAUAUGAAGCAGUGUUGCCCAUUUGUAACAUUCAGCUACAAUAUUCUUUCUGUAUGUUUUCUGUAUGUAUUAUUAGCCUUGAGAAUUUAGCUUUUAAAGAUCAAUAACGCUUGCUUGGUUUCCC
ensembl:lncRNA